rnacentral:rRNA from 1 species
AUUGAACGCUGGCGGCAGGCCUAACACAUGCAAGUCGAGCGGAUGAAGGGAGCUUGCUCCUGGAUUCAGCGGCGGACGGGUGAGUAAUGCCUAGGAAUCUGCCUGGUAGUGGGGGAUAACGUCCGGAAACGGGCGCUAAUACCGCAUACGUCCUGAGGGAGAAAGUGGGGGAUCUUCGGACCUCACGCUAUCAGAUGAGCCUAGGUCGGAUUAGCUAGUUGGUGGGGUAAAGGCCUACCAAGGCGACGAUCCGUAACUGGUCUGAGAGGAUGAUCAGUCACACUGGAACUGAGACACGGUCCAUACUCCUACGGGAGGCAGCAGUGGGGAAUAUUGGACAAUGGGCGAAAGCCUGAUCCAGCCAUGCCGCGUGUGUGAAGAAGGUCUUCGGAUUGUAAAGCACUUUAAGUUGGGAGGAAGGGCAGUAAGUUAAUACCUUGCUGUUUUGACGUUACCAACAGAAGAAGCACCGGCUAACUUCGUG